GACGAACGCUGGCGGCGUGCUUAACACAUGCAAGUCGAACGGAAAGGCCCUGCUUGCAGGGUACUCGAGUGGCGAACGGGUGAGUAACACGUGGGUGAUCUGCCCUGCACUUCGGGAUAAGCCUGGGCAACUGGGUCUAAUACCGGCCAGGUGCCAUUUUUAGUGUGAUGGUUGGAAAGUUUUUUCGGUGUAGGAUGAGACCGCGGCCUAUCAGCUUGUUGGUGGGGUAAUGGCCUACCAAGGCGGCGGCGGGUAGCCGGCCUGGGAGGGUGGACGGCCACAUAGGGACUGAGGUACGGCCCAGACUCCUAAGGGAGGCAGCAGUGGGGAAGAUUGCAGGAUGGGCGCAGGCCUGGUGAAGCGACGCCGCGUGGGGGAUGACGGCCUUCGGGGUGAAGACUCCUUGCGCUAGGGACGAAGCUUUUUGUGACGGUACCUAGAUAGAAAGCACCGGCUAACUACGUG
rnacentral:rRNA from 1 species